rnacentral:rRNA from 1 species
AACGAACGCUGGCGGCAUGCCUAACACAUGCAAGUCGAACGAGACCUUCGGGUCUAGUGGCUCACGGGUGCGUAACGCGUGGGAACCUGCCCUUAGGUUCGGAAUAACUCCCCGAAAGGGGUGCUAAUACCGGAUAAUGUCCUCGGACCAAAGAUUUAUCGCCUUUGGAUGGGCACGCGUUCGAUUAGCUAGUUGGUAGGGUAAAAGCCUACCAAGGCGACGAUCCAUAGCUGGUCUGAGAGGAUGAUCAGCCACACUGGGACUGAGACACGGCCCAGACUCCUACGGGAGGCAGCAGUGGGGAAUAUUGGACAAUGGGCGAAAGCCUGAUCCAGCAAUGCCGCGUGAGUGAUGAAGGCCUUAGGGUUGUAAAGCUCUUUUACCCGGGAUGAUAAUGACAGUACCGGGAGAAUAAGCUCCGGCUAACUCCGU